rnacentral:rRNA from 1 species
CUUUCGAAAGAAAGAUUAAUACCUGAUGGUAUGAUGAGAUUGCAUGAUAGCAUCAUUAAAGAUUUAUCGGUGUACGAUGGGGAUGCGUUCCAUUAGGUAGUAGGCGGGGUAACGGCCCACCUAGCCAACGAUGGAUAGGGGUUCUGAGAGGAAGGUCCCCCACAUUGGAACUGAGACACGGCCCAAACUCCUACGGGAGGCAGCAGUGGGGAAUAUUGCACAAUGGGGGAAACCCUGAUGCAGCGACGCCGCGUGAGUGAUGAAGUAUUUCGGUAUGUAAAGCUCUAUCAGCAGGGAAGAUAAUGACGGUACCUGACUAAGAAGCACCGGCUAAAUACGUGCCAGCAGCCGCGGUAAUACGUAUGGUGCAAGCGUUAUCCGGAUUUACUGGGUGUAAAGGGUGCGUAGGUGGUGAGACAAGUCUGAAGUGAAAAUCCGGGGCUUAACCCCGGAACUGCUUUGGAAACUGCCUGACUAGAGUACAGGAGAGGUAAGUGGAAUUCCUAGUGUAGCGGUGAAAUGCGUAGAUAUUAGGAGGAACACCAGUGGCGAAGGCGACUUACUGGACUGCUACUGACACUGAGGCACGAAAGCGUGGGGAGCAAACAGGAUUAGAUACCCUGG